UAAACGGCCCUUUUCAGGGCCCUUAUAUUUUGCAAAGGGAGCUGCGU
rfam:Ixodes scapularis strain Wikel colony gcontig_1108379087488, whole genome shotgun sequence.